AUUUAGAGUUGAGAUUUAGCCACAGAAAAUAAUUGAAAAAAGUCUCAUUGAAGCUAAGAAGAAUUUGAGGGAUUCAAGAAGAUUUGGAGAUCAUGAUUGCAAUUCUUGGGAUUCUUUAUUCUUUUUGUUAUUUUUUCAUUUUUCUUGGUUUGGUUUCUAUGUUUAAACUUUAUUUGAUGAUGAUGUGUGACAUUAUGGG
rnacentral:lncRNA from 1 species